AUUAUGAACAGGGUGACCAGGAUAGGACUUAGUGUUACAAUAUAUGUAAGUAAAGAACUGAAGAAAGAGAAGGAAGGAGUUCCUUGUUGCUCAACUCACAAUUACUACAUACCACUUAACAUAAUGUCUCACACAAGCUGGCACUAAAUAAUAUUUUUUAAUAUAUGAACAAGGAAAUAAAUAGAGGAAGGUGGAUUAUUUGUAAAUGCCUUAUUAACUACGGCAGAAUCAUAAUGAGCAUUUCCUAUAGAACAAAGUCAUCUGCCUGUGAUUUUUUCACUUAUUUUUGGGUAGCUCAAUAGAGCCACAAAGUGAAGAAAGCAAUAAUUAUGUGGCCACCAGAGCUGCUAUUAGAGUGUCACCUGUUGUUCUAUCCAUUGUCUCAAAGACAGUUUUAAAAAAGACCCUAUACGCUUCAUUAAGAGCAUUUGUUCACUGUGGGGUGGAGG
rnacentral:lncRNA from 10 species